GAUGAACGCUGGCGGCGUGCCUAAUACAUGCAAGUCGAGCGAACAGACGAGGAGCUUGCUCCUUCGACGUUAGCGGCGGACGGGUGAGUAACACGUAGGUAACCUACCUAUAAGACUGGGAUAACUUCGGGAAACCGGAGCUAAUACCGGAUAAUAUUUCGAACCGCAUGGUUCGAUAGUGAAAGAUGGCUUUGCUAUCACUUAUAGAUGGACCUGCGCCGUAUUAGCUAGUUGGUAAGGUAACGGCUUACCAAGGCAACGAUACGUAGCCGACCUGAGAGGGUGAUCGGCCACACUGGAACUGAGACACGGUCCAGACUCCUACGGGAGGCAGCAGUAGGGAAUCUUCCGCAAUGGGCGAAAGCCUGACGGAGCAAUGCCGCGUGAGUGAUGAAGGUCUUCGGAUCGUAAAACUCUGUUAUUAGGGAAGAACAAACGUGUAAGUAACUGUGCACGUCUUGACGGUACCUAAUCAGAAAGCCACGGCUAGCUACGUG
rnacentral:rRNA from 1 species